CCGGCUCAGAGACCGUCUCUAUUUCGGUUCAGCGGUUCUUUCUUCGUUUCAUUGCUGUGGUUACUGCGAAAGUGGCUUGGAGCUGAGGUUGCGGUUGUCGGUGAUUUCGGGUUAAGAGAGAAGGUUCCUGUGAUGCGUUUGGGUUAUGGUUUUGCAUUUUGAGGAUGUGGACGCAGAAGUCAAGAAGAGUUUAUCUAGUAUUGUCGUGAUGCUUUGUAUUGCUUUAGUUAUUAUUUAU